GGUUGCCUGGGAUAUGCUGCCUGUCCCAUGCUGGAGAAUCAACUUACUGGAGGUGCCCCCCCGCCAAGCCACAGGAGCAGAGAGCUGUCACGGUGGGGAAUGCUGCUGGGACCCGUGCAGGACGAAAGGAGACAGAAGAAAAAGGCCAUCUUCCUCCUCUAGCCUUGUUAGCCCCUUCAGAGCCCACUGUGGGUCAGGCUGGCAAAGGGUAAAGGAGUUUUCAGAGCCCCCUCUUCAGUGUGACAAGGAAGGGCAAGGUCAGGGAAAUUUGGAGUUAAGAGGCAAUAAAUGAGUACCUGGCACACCUAGUCGAGGUGUGUCCACUUUCUCCAUAGCAUGGUUACUGUUUUUUUCUUUUCAACUAAUAAGAAAUCUCUGGAGACACACUGUCUCCAUGUACAUACCCUGUUCCUCAUGAGACUCUUCCCCAUUCCCCGACCAGGUUCAGCAAAUGUUGCUGAUUCUGGCCUGAUUCAAUCUUUAUGAUGACUGCCAAGCGACGUUUCUGCAGCCCAGCACUCCUUCCUCAUUUGCCAGUCAUCCCUCCCUUCUCCUUCAUUUAUUUUCAUAUAUCCACUAUGGAUUCCCAUUUUUUCAAAAGUCGACUUCAUCAUUGACCUUUGGGGAUGGGGGAAGAGUUCCUCAGAUAGUUCCCGACUUGGCCAGCGAGAGCCCCUUCGAGUGCCUCCUAUAUCCCAGCAUUUUUGGAAGCACUCCCCUAAUUUCUGAUCUAACAAGAUGUUCCAGGCCCCUGGGCACCAGCCAUGGAUCAGUGUUUGUCCCAGGAGCCCUGGUCCCUGGCACUAGGUGUGCUUAUUGCAGCUGGGGUGUCUUUGCUUCUUGUCCUAUAGAUGAUUGACAGAGCUUGUCUUACUGCCUUUUUUAAGUGUAUUUUUUUAAACAAAAGUAAUUGGUGCUUUAAAAAAUGUGAACAAUACAGACAUCUGUAAAGAAGUACCCACAGGGAAGCAAGUUCAGCAGUUCAGCAAUGGCAUGUGUCUUUGCAGACUACAUACACAGAAACAGACUUGGUAUUGGGUUUUGGUUUUUGCUUUUUGCUAAUAGGAAUUUUAUCCUACAAGAUCCUCUUUCUGUCUUCACAACAUAGUCUGAUGCUCCUUCCAUGUCUAACUGUAGGAUUUGUCAUUCCAUUGUGUUAGCUGUGUGGGUACAUUAGUACCAUGAUUAACCAAGGUGUAUAAAGGGCAGGCCUGCAGGCUGCCUCCAGUGCCUCCACUACUCGCCACAGUGAUCAUCUCUAUACACACACUGCAGUCAUUUACAAUUUUUAAAAUGAAAACAAUUUUUAUUGAGAUGCAAUUCACAUGGCAUAAAAUUAACGAUUUUAAAGUAAA
rnacentral:lncRNA from 1 species